rnacentral:rRNA from 1 species
AGCAGCCGCGGUAAUUCCAGCUCCAAUAGCGUAUAUUAAAGUUGUUGCAGUUAAAAAGCUCGUAGUUGAAUUUCGGGGUUCUACCGUCGGUCGGGCUACUGUCUGUACUGGCGUGUAGAAUUUCUACCUUCUGGGGAACUAUCAUGUUAUUUAUUUAGCGUGGUAGGAAACCAGGACCUUUACCUUGAAGAAAUUAGAGUGUUCAAAGCAGGCUUAUGUCUGAAUACAUUAGCAUGGAAUAAUAAAAUAGGACGGUGGUCCUGUUUUGUUGGUCUCUGAACCACCGUA